rnacentral:lncRNA from 1 species
CUGUACCCACUGCCUUAGAGACUCCCCUGCCUGGGAAACCAAGACGACAUGCCCUCAGGGGCAGCGGUGACAAGAUUAUUUUGUCUGAGUGUUUGGGGAUCCCAAGAUGUGGGAGGUGGGAUAGGCAGGCAGAGGAUGGGAUUAAUUUGUGGCUGGGAUUGCUCAUAAUUACUACCUUCCCUGAUGUAUCCCCUUUCCCAAGUUUAGGCUGCUGGUGAGGGGAGAGACACCAGCAGGAGGGGAGUGGGUAAGAGGGUGGGACCAGCCAGCCCAUUCAGAGCUGCCUCCUCCCCCAGCUGGGUGGGGACUGGCCUGCCUCCCACCUCCUUCAGACAGAGCUUAGUCCUUCCUGCUUUGUUGGGCCCUGCCCCCUAUUCCUGGGCAGCCUUGCCUGGCAGUCUCCACUAUUCUCAUCCGCGGCAGCCCCCAACCUUGGCCAACACCCCAGGUGUGGGCUGUCCUCAUCAGGAGCUCCCCCACACCCCAAGUGCUCCCCCUUCAGCUGCUGCUUCUGCCCCAGACUCACAAUCAGUAAUGACAGGAUAAUUGUUUGUUUUAUUGAUCAUAACCAGCCUUCCGUGGCCCAGCGAUGGAUGAUGUGGGAAGAGCUACAUUUGCCCUGGCACAGGCACCCUAGCACCAGGAGAACCAGAUAUGGCCUCACCUGGAUGCAGACUUUCCCCAUCCUGCCACCUCAUCACUCACCUUGGACCCUGAAUCCCCAAGAGACUUCUAUUGGCUGA